CCUACGGGGGGCAGCAGUGAGGAAUAUUGGUCAAUGGACGAGAGUCUGAACCAGCCAAGUAGCGUGAAGGAUGACUGCCCUAUGGGUUGUAAACUUCUUUUAUAUGGGAAUAAAACGUUCCACGUGUGGGAUUUUGUAUGUACCAUAUGAAUAAGGAUCGGCUAACUCCGUGCCAGCAGCCGCGGUAAUACGGAGGAUCCGAGCGUUAUCCGGAUUUAUUGGGUUUAAAGGGGGCGUAGGUGGAUUGUUAAGUCAGUUGUGAAAGUUUGCGGCUCAACCGUAAAAUUGCAGUUGAAACUGGCAGUCUUGAGUACAGUAGAGGUGGGCGGAAUGCGUGGUGUAGCGGUGAAAUGCUUAGAUAUCACGAAGAACUCCGAUUGCGAAGGCAGUUCACUGGACUGCAACUGACACUGAGGCUCGAAAGUGUGGGUAUCAAACAGGAUUAGAUACCCUAGUAGUC
rnacentral:rRNA from 1 species